GGUUAAGUGACUAAGCGUACACGGUGGAUGCCUUGGCAGUCAGAGGCGAUGAAAGACGUAGUAACUUGCGAUAAGCCCAGAUUAGGUAGUAACAACCAUUUGAGUCUGGGAUUUCUGAAUGGGGAAACCCACUUACAUAAGUAAGUAUCAUUAACUGAAUACAUAGGUUAAUGAGGCGAACCGGGGAACUGAAACAUCUAAGUACCCCGAGGAAAAGAAAUCAACCGAGAUUCCGAAAGUAGCGGCGAGCGAAAUUGGACUAGCCCUUAAGCUUUACACGCGUUAGACGAACGGUCUGGAAAGUCCGACGAUACAGGGUGAUAGUCCCGUAGUUGACGACGUGUGUUCAGUGAAAUCGAGUAGGGCGGGACACGUGAUAUCCUGUCUGAAUAUGGGGGACCAUCCUCCAAGGCUAAAUACUACUGACUGACCGAUAGUGAACCAGUACCGUGAGGGAAAGGCGAAAAGAACCCCUGUGAGGGGAGUGAAAUAGAACCUGAAACCGUGUACGUACAAGCAGUAGGAGCAGGCUUUGUCCUGUGACUGCGUACCUUUUGUAUAAUGGGUCAGCGACUUAUAUUCAGUGGCAAGGUUAACCAUCUAGGGGAGCCGUAGGGAAACCGAGUCUUAACUGGGCGUUCAGUCUCUGGAUAUAGACCCGAAACCAGGUGAUCUAGCCAUGGGCAGGUUGAAGGUUGAGUAACAUCAACUGGAGGACCGAACCGACUAAUGUUGAAAAAUUAGCGGAUGACUUGUGGCUAGGGGUGAAAGGCCAAUCAAACCUGGAGAUAGCUGGUUCUCCCCGAAAGCUAUUUAGGUAGCGCCUCGGACGAAUACUACUGGGGGUAGAGCACUGUUAAGGCUAGGGGUCAUCCCGACUUACCAACCCUUUGCAAACUCCGAAUACCAGUAAGUACUAUCCGGGAGACACACGGCGGGUGCUAACGUCCGUCGUGGAGAGGGAAACAACCCAGACCGCCAGCUAAGGUCCCAAAUUACUACUAAGUGGGAAACGAUGUGGGAAGGCUCAGACAGCCAGGAUGUUGGCUUAGAAGCAGCCAUCAUUUAAAGAAAGCGUAAUAGCUCACUGGUCGAGUCGGCCUGCGCGGAAGAUGUAACGGGGCUAAGUAGUAAACCGAAGCUGCGGCAAUAUACUUUUGUAUAUUGGGUAGGGGAGCGUUCUGUAAGCGGUUGAAGGUGUGUGGUAACGCAUGCUGGACGUAUCAGAAGUGCGAAUGCUGACAUGAGUAACGAUAAAGGGGUGAAAAACCUCCUCGCCGGAAGACCAAGGGUUCCUGUCCAACGUUAAUCGGGGCAGGGUAAGUCGACCCCUAAGGCGAGGCCGAAAGGCGUAGUCGAUGGGAAACGGGUUAAUAUUCCCGUACUUCUUACAAUUGCGAUGGGGGGACGGAGAAGGCUAGGUGGGCCUGGCGACGGUUGUCCAGGUUCAAGUGCGUAGGCUUAAGAGUUAGGUAAAUCCGGCUCUUUUUAAGGCUGAGACACGACGUCGAGCACCUACGGGUGUGAAGUCAUUGAUGCCAUGCUUCCAGGAAAAGCCUCUAAGCUUCAGAUUGUAAGGAAUCGUACCCCAAACCGACACAGGUGGUCGGGUAGAGAAUACCAAGGCGCUUGAGAGAACUCGGGUGAAGGAACUAGGCAAAAUGGUACCGUAACUUCGGGAGAAGGUACGCUCUUGAUGGUGAAGUCCCUCGCGGAUGGAGCUGACGAGAGUCGCAGAUACCAGGUGGCUGCAACUGUUUAUUAAAAACACAGCACUGUGCAAAAUCGUAAGAUGACGUAUACGGUGUGACGCCUGCCCGGUGCCGGAAGGUUAAUUGAUGGGGUUAGACUUCGGUCGAAGCUCUUGAUCGAAGCCCCGGUAAACGGCGGCCGUAACUAUAACGGUCCUAAGGUAGCGAAAUUCCUUGUCGGGUAAGUUCCGACCUGCACGAAUGGCGUAAUGAUGGCCACGCUGUCUCCACCCGAGACUCAGUGAAAUUGAAAUCGCUGUGAAGAUGCAGUGUACCCGCGGCUAGACGGAAAGACCCCGUGAACCUUUACUACAGCUUGGCACUGAACAUUGACCCUACAUGUGUAGGAUAGGUGGGAGGCUUUGAAGCACGUACGCCAGUAUGUGUGGAGCCGUCCUUGAAAUACCACCCUUGUAGUGUUGAUGUUCUAACGUCGACCCCUAAUCGGGGUUGCGGACAGUGCCUGGUGGGUAGUUUGACUGGGGCGGUCUCCUCCCAAAGAGUAACGGAGGAGCACGAAGGUGGGCUAAUCACGGUUGGACAUCGUGAGGUUAGUGCAAUGGCAUAAGCCCGCUUGACUGCGAGAAUGACAAUUCGAGCAGGUGCGAAAGCAGGUCAUAGUGAUCCGGUGGUUCUGAAUGGAAGGGCCAUCGCUCAACGGAUAAAAGGUACUCCGGGGAUAACAGGCUGAUACCGCCCAAGAGUUCAUAUCGACGGCGGUGUUUGGCACCUCGAUGUCGGCUCAUCACAUCCUGGGGCUGAAGUCGGUCCCAAGGGUAUGGCUGUUCGCCAUUUAAAGUGGUACGCGAGCUGGGUUUAGAACGUCGUGAGACAGUUCGGUCCCUAUCUGCCGUGGGCGUUGGAAGAUUGAAGGGGCUGCUCCUAGUACGAGAGGACCGGAGUGGACGAACCUCUGGUGUUCGGGUUGUGUCGCCAGACGCAUUGCCCGGUAGCUAAGUUCGGAAUCGAUAACCGCUGAAAGCAUCUAAGCGGGAAGCGAGCCCUGAGAUGAGUCUUCCCUGAUACUUUAAGUAUCCUAAAGGGUUGUCGGAGACUACGACGUUGAUAGGUCAGGUGUGUAAGUGCUGUGAGGCAUUGAGCUAACUGAUACUAAUUGCCCGUGAGGCUUAACCAU
rnacentral:rRNA from 1 species